rnacentral:rRNA from 1 species
UGGGGAAAAUUGCACAAUGGGCGCAAGCCUGAUGCAGCCAUGCCGCGUGUGUGAAGAAGGCCUUCGGGUUGUAAAGCACUUUCAGCGGGGAGGAAGGCGAUAAGGUUAAUAACCUUGUCGAUUGACGUUACCCGCAGAAGAAGCACCGGCUAACUCCGUGCCAGCAGCCGCGGUAAUACGGAGGGUGCAAGCGUUAAUCGGAAUUACUGGGCGUAAAGCGCACGCAGGCGGUCUGUCAAGUCGGAUGUGAAAUCCCCGGGCUUAACCUGGGAACUGCAUUCGAAACUGGCAGGCUAGAGUCUUGUAGAGGGGGGUAGAAUUCCAGGUGUAGCGGUGAAAUGCGUAGAGAUCUGGAGGAAUACCGGUGGCGAAGGCGGCCCCCUGGACGAAGACUGACGCUCAGGUGCGAAAGCGUGGGGAGCAAACAGG